rnacentral:rRNA from 1 species
GACGAACGCUGGCGGCGUGCCUAAUACAUGCAAGUAGAACGCUGAAACUUGGUGCUUGCACCGAGCGGAUGAGUUGCGAACGGGUGAGUAACGCGUAGGUAACCUGCCUGGUAGCGGGGGAUAACUAUUGGAAACGAUAGCUAAUACCGCAUAAGAGUAGAUGUUGCAUGACAUUUGCUUAAAAGGUACAUUUGCACCACUACCAGGUGGACCUGCGUUGUAUUAGCUAGUUGGUGGGGUAACGGCUCACCAAGGCGACGAUACAUAGCCGACCUGAGAGGGUGAUCGGCCACACUGGGACUGGGACACGGCCCAGACUCCUACGGGAGGCAGCAGGAGGGGAUCUUCGGCAAUGGACGGAAGUCUGACCGAGCAACGCCGCGUGAGUGAAGAAGGGUUUCGGAUCGGAAAGCUCUGUUGUAAGGGAAGAACGAGUGUGAGAGUGGAAAGUUCACACUGUGACGGUAUCUUACCAGAAAGGGACGGCUAACUACGUG